rnacentral:rRNA from 1 species
UACAGCGAGUUAAAAGCUCGUAGUUGAUUUCUGAUCGGAAAAAAUUGAUUUCAAUGAAGUUGAUUUUAUUCUAGGUCAUCCUCUCGGGAAAAUAAUUUCUUCUUAACUGAAGAGUUGUCGGAUCGAGAUAUUUACUUUGAAAAAAUUAGAGUGUUUCAGGCAGGCUUACGCCCGAAUAUUACAGCUGAGAAUAAUGGAAUAGGACUGAGUUCGUUUUGUUGGUUUUUUAAGAACUUAGUAAUGAUUAAAAGGGACAGUUGGGGGCAUUAGUAUUUAAUUGUCAGAGGUGAAAUUCUUGGAUUUAUUAAAGACUAACUAAUGCGAAAGCAUUUA